CACAGCUGAUUGACUAUGUGGAGUCACAGAGGGAAGCUGUGAUGCCAGGAAGGGAGGCUUCACAUCUCCAACAGCUUCUGUGUCACCGUAGAUGAGCCAUCCCUGGGUUCCGGAGUCAGGAGCCUGAUACUCAUACUCAGGACUGAAUCCAGGGCUUGUGCAUGCCAUGCAAGUGCUUCACCCUGGAAAACUACAUCCCACCUCCUUUUACUAUUUUUAAUUUGAGACACCAUUUUACUUCUGCUUGUUUUGUUUUUCUUUUUGAGACAUUGUCUUGUUGUGUAGUCCAGGCUGGCCUUGAACUUGAAAUCCUCCUAUUUCAACUUUCUGGGUGCUGGGAUUAAGAUGUGUGCCAUUCCAUCUUUUCUCACUCUUUCCAUUGCUGCUCCUGUGAUAAACACUGAGUGUGCCUGAAGUAUCCUUCAGCAUUCAAAGUCUCACCAAGUUUGACAUCAGAAGAAUCAAAGGAUAUACACUUUUCCCGAAACACCAUUUUUUAUUACAAAAUAAUACCUGGUCAUGGUGCUAUUUAUCUAUUUAUUUACAUUUUAGGACCAGUAAGAUCAUUCAGUGGGUAAAAUCGCUUGUCACCUGCAGGGAACCAUGGAGUUGGCCUGUCUUAGCUGCCUUGAGAGACAUUCGUCAUAAGUUUUGCAGGGAUUUGCUUCUUGACUCCCCCAUGGCUGAAUUCUUCAAACCUUAAGGGUUAAGAGACUUAGGAUUACAGACUAUUCUUCAAGUUAAGUUUCUCGUGAUGAUCAGCAUCUGAAGCCUCCUCUGCUUUGCCUGUUUCCUGUCAAAGGCACCAAGAACUUGGCACUGGGCAUGGCAGCUGGCACCUAACAGAUGGUCCAGAAGUGGUCAGAGGAUGAAGACCCUUGGAUUCCAGACUCACGGCUGGUCAUGGAGCUGCUUCCUGCCCUGCCCUCCUCAGUGGGGCUUGAAGCUGUGGUGUCCAGCGAAUAAGUCCUUCCCCUCCAUCGUGACCACUGGCUUCUCUCUAUCCGUCCUUGACUCACUGUCAUUAUAGGAGAAAGCAUCAGAUUUUAAGAAUUUUACCCAAUGAAACAGAAAUGAGAAGGGGACAAAAAGCAUAGAGGAUGUGAGGGACUCUUCAAAGGAUAUGUCUGCUGUGAAUGAUGAUGCUCAGCUCUGUGUUCAAGAUCAUCUAAAGCUAAAUAUGAAAUCUCCAUGAAGAUCGGCUGGUUUCUUCCCUUGUGCCUGUUGCUGGAGCCCCUCAUAAGCUGGGUUCCUGGUUCAUUUAGGGUGGUUUUUCUUUGUGGAAUAGCUGUGGUUAGCACUUUGCAGGUACACAGGUUAGCUUUUGCUCAAGAAAACUGAAAAUAAGUUCUAAAGCCUGUUAGGACUAUCUUGAUGCUGUACCAGGUCUGUUCAAAGAUAAAUAUUAAAUGAGGUAAGGACUCAAUUUUAACUGCUUGAUAAAUGUUUAAGUGACUUAAUAAUAUAACAUUUACUAAAGAAGUCAAAUAAUGACUACAGCUAAUGUAAAUAUUUCUCAAAUUAGUAGUACAACAGGGCAGUCAGAAGUGAAUAGAACAGAUGGUAAUUACAGGGAGAUGGAAGUGCACAUUUGCUAAAGCUUCAACCCCAGCCUUGUUUUAAUAUGUGUGCAUGUUGGUGUGGGUACAUGUGUGUGUGCUAGUGCCUGUGUAUGUGUGUGCUUGUGCGUGUAGAGGUCAGAGGUCAACUUCCAAUGUCAGACCUUAGGCAUCAUCCACUUCUUUUCUUUAGAGGUAGGAUCUCACUAGCCUGGGUGCAUCCAGUGUUCCAACUAGCCAGCAAGCCCCAGACAUCCCUGUUCCUGCUUCCUCUUCUUGUACCUUUGUGUGGAUCCUGGGGAUAGAUCUCAGUUACCAGGGUUGGGUGGCAAGUGCCCUUACCCACUGAGCCAUCUUAUCAGCCCUCACCAUGGUUCUUUUUAUCAGAGGGGAAGCUGGAGGAUGCUCACUGGAAGGAUGGCUUGCCUGACAAGAUUCUCUAGUUGAUAGUGAUAAUGGUGACCCACUUGUUUAGUGCUUGCACAC
rnacentral:lncRNA from 1 species